rnacentral:rRNA from 1 species
GUCUACGACCAUGCCACCCUGAACAAGCCUGAUGUCUGAUCUCGGAAGCUAAGUAGGGUCAGGCCUAGUUAGUACUUGGAUGGGAGACCACCUAGGAAGACCAGGUGCUGUAGGUA